AUGAAAAAGCGUUCAGACAAAAGGUUAACUUGCAAAAAUCCUCGAUCUUUUUUUGGAAAAGGAAGCCAAAAUGUGAUGAAGGAACAGAUGAAGCAGAUUGUGGGGAUUCAGUCUGAAGCCCUUAGUGAACGGUAUUUGGGGCUCCCAACACUGGUUGGCAGGUCCAAGGAUGGCACUUUUAAACAUGUAACAGAGUGUGCUAAGGGUAAAGUAUGUGGUUGGAAGGGCCAAGGAUUGUCCAAAGCGGCUAGAGAAGUGCUCGUCAAGUCUGUUUUGCAAGCGACACCGACCUACACCAUGAGUUGUUUUCACCUCUCGAAGAAAAUGUGCCGGAACCUGACUUCAAUCUCGUCCAAAUUCUGGUGGGGUGCAAUGAAUGGUGAGAGAAGGGUCCAUUGGAUCGCUUGGCAGAAGAUGUGUGCGAGCAAGAGGGAUGGGGGCAUGGGGUUUCGUGACCCCGAGGCUUUCAACCAAGCGUUGUUGGCGAAACAAGCAUGGCGUAUCCUUGAAGUCCCAACUUCUCUAUGUGCUAGGGUGCUUAAAGCGAGGUAUUUUAAAGAUGACUCAAUCUUGUCCGCUUCCUGUCCAGCUUCGGGUUCUUUCACCUUCAGGAGCAUUUUGCAUGGCCGGGAUUUGCAAAGGAGGGCCUGA
rnacentral:rRNA from 1 species